AUCCAGAUAAAUAAUAUUAAGUGUAAAUAAAUGUCAAGCUCAUGUGAUGGAAGGGUUUUUGAAAUCAAAGAGCAGACCAUAGUAACUAUUUCGUUCAGACACAAAAAUGUCACGAGAACAAACGUUAAUCACGUCCCUUAUUUGUUUGAUGGAUGAAGAAUCAUGCAGAUCAUUGAUAAUCUACGAGAAAUAAUGUCAUGUUACCCGAUUGGCAAUGAAAAUUAGAUGUGGAGAUAUUAAUUGAAUGAAGUUUGGACAGAUAAGCUGCGAGGAGAGCUGUUCUUGAAGUUCCCAACAAUUUUGGAACAACGUGAUCCUGAAUUUUGCUUUAAAACUAGUGAAAAAAUUCUUCAAAAGUGCAACAACUUUAUGAAAAAUGAAUCGAUUCAAUUGAGGUUUGCUUUGAUGUAUUGCCGCGACAUUCUUUAGAAUUGUCGAU